rnacentral:lncRNA from 1 species
UAAAGAUCCAUUUAAGCCAAGUGAUUAAAGCUGCCGCUACUGCCGCCGUGUCGUCCAAUUCCCAGCAGCUGCACAGGCCAAUAAUUUAUGCUAAUUCACUUGACUCCCAUGCAACCGGCAGUCGACCGCAGGGAAGAAAAAAGGAAAACACGCCCACAAAAUGACAAUGAGAAUGACUUGCUGUAAGCGAGACUUAGCCGCAGGCACGUGCCACACUCACACACACACUGACACACAGAUAUAUACG